CUCACUCUGUCACCUAGGCUGGAGUAUAGUGGCCACCUCCUCUGCACUGAUCUCCAAGGAACCCCAAAUGCCCGAAGUCCUGGUGUCUCCUGCAAGCAGCAGAGGGAGCCCGCACUCUAUCAAAAACGAUUGAGUUUCUCAUCAUACUACAAAGCAGAAAGUUGUUUUAGAGCCGUUUAUUAGCCAUGAUCCUGCAUGGAUCAGUCAUGAUGUCAUGGAGAAGGUGCCGUGGAACUCACUGACAAUCAUGAAAUGCAAGAAGCAGAAGCAGAAUUUGGUCCAUUAAAAAAAUAAACCUGGCUGGGUGCAGU